rnacentral:ncRNA from 2 species
CUUCGGUCAGGCGCUGAUUUGUUACUUCGGCUUGCGGGCGCUUAAUAAAUACCGCUAAAGAGAUAGUGGACGUCUAUCC